AGAGUUUGAUCCUGGCUCAGAACGAACGCUGGCGGCGUGUCUUAAGCAUGCAAGUCGUGCGGCAAGGACAGCAAUGUCCCUAGAGCGGCGGACUGGUGAGUAACGCGUGGGUGAUCUACCCUUGGGUUGGGGAUAGCCAUUAGAAAUAGUGGGUAAUACCGAAUACGUUCGCGAGGCUGUGGCCUUGCGAGGAAAGGCGCUUCGGCGCCACCCGAGGAUGAGCCCGCGUCCCAUUAGCUAGUUGGUGAGGUAAUGGCCCACCAAGGCGAUGAUGGGUAGGCGGCCUGAGAGGGUGUACGCCCACACUGGGACUGAGAUACGGCCCAGACUCCUACGGGAGGCAGCAGCUAAGAAUAUUCCGCAAUGGACGAAAGUCUGACGGAGCGACGCCGCGUGGAUGACGAAGGCCGAAAGGUUGUAAAAUCCUUUUGUUGGGGAAGAAUAAGCGUGACAGGUAAUGGUCGCGUGAUGACAUGAACCGAC
rnacentral:rRNA from 1 species